rnacentral:rRNA from 1 species
UGGAUUAGUGGCGAACGGGUGAGUAACACGUGAGUAACCUGCCCUUAACUCAGGGAUAAGCCUGGGAAACUGGGUCUAAUACCGGAUAGGAGCGUCCACCGCAUGGUGGGUGUUGGAAAGAUUUAUCGGUUUUGGAUGGACUCGCGGCCUAUCAGCUUGUUGGUGAGGUAAUGGCUCACCAAGGCGACGACGGGUAGCCGGCCUGAGAGGGUGACCGGCCACACUGGGACUGAGACACGGCCCAG